UAGGGAAUCUUCCACAAUGGACGAAAGUCUGAUGGAGCAACGCCGCGUGAGUGAAGAAGGGUUUCCGGCUCGUAAAGCUCUGUUGGUAGUGAAGAAAGAUAGAGGUAGUAACUGGCCUUUAUUUGACGGUAAUUACUUAGAAAGUCACGGCUAACUACGUGCC
rnacentral:rRNA from 1 species